GACGAACGCUGGCGGCGUGCUUAACACAUGCAAGUCGAACGGAAAGGCCCUGCUUUUGUGGGGUGCUCGAGUGGCGAACGGGUGAGUAACACGUGAGUAACCUGCCCUUGACUUUGGGAUAACUUCAGGAAACUGGGGCUAAUACCGGAUAGGAGCUCCUGCUGCAUGGUGGGGGUUGGAAAGUUUCGGCGGUUGGGGGUGGACUCGCGGCUUAUCAGCUUGUUGGUGGGGUAGUGGCUUACCAAGGCUUUGACGGGUAGCCGGCCUGAGAGGGUGACCGGCCACAUUGGGACUGAGAUACGGCCCAGACUCCUACGGGAGGCAGCAGUGGGGAAUAUUGCCCAAUGGGCGGAAGCCUGAUGCAGCAACGCCGCGUGCGGGAUGACGGCCUUCGGGUUGUAAACCGCUUUCGCCUGUGACGAAGCGUGAGUGACGGUAAUGGGUAAAGAAGCACCGGCUAACUACGUG
rnacentral:rRNA from 1 species